rnacentral:rRNA from 1 species
GAUGAACGCUGGCGGCGUGCCUAAUACAUGCAAGUCGAGCGAACAGACGAGGAGCUUGCUCCUCUGACGUUAGCGGCGGACGGGUGAGUAACACGUGGAUAACCUACCUAUAAGACUGGGAUAACUUCGGGAAACCGGAGCUAAUACCGGAUAAUAUAUUGAACCGCAUGGUUCAAUAGUGAAAGACGGUUUUGCUGUCACUUAUAGAUGGAUCCGCGCCGCAUUAGCUAGUUGGUAAGGUAACGGCUUACCAAGGCGACGAUCCGUAGCCGACCUGAGAGGGGGAUCGGCCACACUGGAACUGAGACACGGUCCAGACUCCUACGGGAGGCAGCAGUAGGGAAUCUUCCGCAAUGGGCGAAAGCCUGACGGAGCAACGCCGCGUGAGUGAUGAAGGUCUUCGGAUCGUAAAACUCUGUUAUUAGGGAAGAACAAAUGUGUAAGUAACUAUGCGCGUCUUGACGGUACCUAAUCAGAAAGCCACGGCUAACUACGUG